rnacentral:rRNA from 1 species
CACUGAGUUACGAGUUUGAUCAUCGGCUCGAGGACGAACGCUGGCGGCGUGCCUAACACAUGCAAGUCGAACGGAGUUAAUGUUUAGAUCCCUUCGGGGUGACGAACUUUUAACUUAGUGGCGGACGGGUGAGUAACGCGUGAGCAACCUGCCUUUCAGAGGGGGACAACAGUUGGAAACGACUGCUAAUACCGCAUGAUAUACCGAGAAGGCAUCUUCAUGGUAUCAAAGAUUUAUCGCUGAAAGAUGGGCUCGCGUCCGAUUAGGUAGUUGGUGGGGUAACGGCCUACCAAGCCGACGAUCGGUAGCCGGACUGAGAGGUUGAUCGGCCACAUUGGGACUGAGACACGGCCCAGACUCCUACGGGAGGCAGCAGUGGGGAAUAUUGCACAAUGGGGGAAACCCUGAUGCAGCAACGCCGCGUGAGGGAAGAAGGUUUUCGGAUUGUAAACCUCUGUUUUUAGUGAAGAAACAAAUGACGGUAGCUAAAGAGGAAGCCACGGCUAACUACGUG